rnacentral:rRNA from 1 species
UACAGAGGGUGCAAGCGUUAACCGGAAUUACUGGGCGUAAAGCGCGCGUAGGUGGUUCGUUAAGUCUGAUGUGAAAGCCCUGGGCUCAACCUGGGAAUGGCAUUGGAAACUGGCGACCUAGAGUGCGGUAGAGGGUAGUGGAAUUCCCGGUGUAGCAGUGAAAUGCGUAGAGAUCGGGAGGAACAUCCGUGGCGAAGGCGACUACCUGGACCAGCACUGACACUGAGGCACGAAAGCGUGGGGAGCAAACAGG